rnacentral:rRNA from 1 species
AACGUAGGAGGCGAGCGUUAUCCGGAAUCACUGGGCGUAAAGGGCGUCUAGGCGGGUUGGUAAGCGAGGUGUGAAAGCUCCCGGCUCAACUGGGAGAGUGCGCUUCGAACUGCCAGCCUUGAGGUGAGCAGAAGGGGGUGGAAUUCCCGGUGGAGUGGUGAAAUGCGUAGAGAUCGGGAGGAACACCAGUGGCGAAAGCGGCCCCCUAGGCUUAUCCUGACGCUGAAGCGCGAAAGCGUGGGGAGCAAACGGG